CCCACCCGCCCUUCUGCGCCCGGGCAGCAGACAUCUCCUGAGGAAAACCAGAUUCCCUCCGAAGAGAUUCCUCUUGUCCUGUCAGGCACGUCAAAAAUGCUCAACACUCACUUCAGAAACAACCCGUGACGCCAACACCUGGUUGGGUGUGAGUCCCACAGAACUUGCCUGAUUUCUGUAGACGACUUGUUUCUGAAAACCGGGAAGGAGGGCGCCCGGGGCCACAGCUGUUGUCGCAGACUUCUCCGGGAGAGGAGUGGGAGUUACCUGGGUUAGUCUGGACCCAGCGCCAGACCAUGCCGUCAGGACGUGCCCAUGCCACUAUCUGGAAAGGGCGGACGCCAGAAGUGCUAGGACAGUGAGGCCAUGGGGAACUGGCUUCGGAGCAGACAGAAAUGUGUUCUGUGCAGAAACCUCUUCUGUUGGACCAAAAUCCAUCGCUUCAGGGACAAGGUGUAGACAACUCUCCCUCGAUGCCUUCUUAUAUGCGAGUUUGUUCCCUCCCACCGUGGUUUUUAAGCAUCGUUCCCAGGAUCCUCAGGCCUCCCAAUACCCUCCCGUCUUUUCACAUUCUUACCCUUUCCCCCUUGUAGGUUGUGAGUGUCCUCGGGGAACACUAUGUCCUCUGAAUUAAGCAGGCCAUCAGCCCAGGUGCUCGACAUCUUUUUGGAGCCCUUCCUACAUCAUCAACCUCAAAUCUUAUUUGCAUUCUGUUGAAGUAUUUAAAGUUGCUUAUUAGUGUUUUGUAAGACAGAGCCAAGGACAGAAUGCUGUUCCCACUAAAGACCUCGUUCCUUCUAUCCAACAUUCCUCAGUGGACUUUGAGUACAGUACCGACAACUUCCACAUUUAUGUAACUGAACCGUCUUCUUAAUUCAUAUUCAAAAAAAAAGUGAGAAUUUGUGGACUACAAGUAAACUGUCUCCAGAAUUCCUCGAAACUGUCAGCCAUACACAAAAGGAAAAUUACUGUGGCAUCAUCAUAGAAAAGUCUGGGCUCUCUACAAAGAAAUCAGAAAAGGCUGGGGAGAAUGAAGCCUUGAAAGGACUCUUAAGUAUGACCAGAAAUGUCUUCAGCUAUCCUUGUUUUUUGUAUUAUUUUUCCUCUCCACUUAAAUCAAGUUAAAUAUUCCUCUGUGUUCUAUCCAGCAUAUUCUUUUCUGAGUGUGAUGUAGGUGAGGCUUAUUCCAGCUCACAGGUUAGAGUGGCUUAGAGGUGAGUCAGCAGACAGUAAAGGGCAAGGCUUCCGUGUUGGCCUGACAACCUCCUUGUGCAGUGUUUGUUGUUAGAAGUUAAAGAUUCCUUAAGACAUGGGACAUGUUAAGAAGAAAUCCCUGUACCCAGACGUUAAUGUUACUCCACAGUGAGUGUUAGGCUAAAGACAUAAAUGGGAGAGCAGAGGAGCUGAAUGAUUUUUAAUUUACCAAAAAUGUUCCCCAUACAGAUCUGCAAGGAUGGGAUGUCCUCUUACUGCUGUGGGUUGGAUUCCGUCUGCAGAGCUUUCCUUAGAGUGGUUCACGCCUGAUUAGACUCAGGGACCUGGGGAGUCAGAGUGACAGGCACACCUGGGAGAAUCCGAAAACGGGCUUGGAAGUCUCUCUCCAGGGUGGAGUGUUUAGAUUGGGAAGGCAUCAGAAAGUCCAUGCAACCCUUGUUCUACUGCUCUAAGAACCUGGCUGACUCCUCUACUGAAGAGCACAAUAAAACAUGUCUUGGAAUUUGUUCCUUA